rnacentral:miRNA from 1 species
CCGUGACAUCUCCCCCUCAAGGGGGGAGAUCGGGGCAAGAGGCUAGCCCACGCCAAUCUCCCCCCUUGAGGGGGAGAUGCCCGGC